UUGGUCGGGAGCUCGCUCGUGAGCUCUAGGGCUCUCCCCCGCGCCUAUAUAAGGACCCCCGAACCCCUCCGCACCUCACCAGCCUCUCCCCAAGCCUCCGCGACCUGUAGAGUCGCCCGAUCUCGCCAGAGUUCGCCUCGGCCAUUGCCGGUCUUCUUGAUUCCGGCGAGCAUAGUCCACCUCUCCACCUCCCGACCCGUCCUACGCGUUCCCCUCCUACCCGCGGUUCGCCCCCACCCCUUGCCCCCUCGCCGGAGCCGCUGCUUCACCGAGUACCUCCACCACCCGAGCUCUCUGUAGCCUCCCCGGUCGCCGCACCUCCCUGCCUCUCCACCACUCUCCGGCACCUCCUUUGCCUCUGAAUGGAUGCGGUGCUCUGCCCUGAACCCGCCGGUGCCCGCGCCUUGGCCUGAGGUGGCCGGAGCAGCCCGUUCCAUCGCCAGCGCCCGCCCAGCUCCUCUCUGUUCUCCUCCCAUCGCCACUUCCCCUAGGCAUCCCCGCCGUCCCUGCUGCCUCUCUCUGCUGCGGCCGGCCGAUCCGCGCCCGCCGGUGGCCUCCGCCUGGCCGGACUUGGCCGGAGCCGCCUGGGCCCCUCGCGGCGCCCACCUCCCCUGCUUCGCUACUCUGUCUCCGAUCGGGGAGGCAGGAGGAGGAAGACGACGACCUGGCUCGGCCCCCCUGGCCGCUGGACCCCACGUGCCAGCCACACACCCCGGGCCCAGGGACCCAUUGGUGAUAAAAUCUUCACGGAAUGGUCCUUCUUCUUCCACACAUCAUAACUCCGCAACCGUAACUCCGAUCGAGCCCCCUCCAAGAGAAAACCGUCCGGUGUUUCGUUCCGCGGCUUCACCGCACUUUUUCCUGCAGUCUCCGUCACCCCAGGCAAGCCACAAUACCCACUUGCAUGAUAGUCAUGCAGUAGCCAUGGUUUU